CUUCCACCAAACCAUCUGCCAUUCAUCAACUCUAUACAUUUCUGAGCAUCCCUCCUAUCCUUGAAUCUUAUUAGAACCACACCUUGUGGAUGGUUUUCACAAACCUUAACUGAAUCCACAGGACCAAAUCUUGUGCAUUCCUCCUUGACAUCUGUUUCGAUUUCUGAAGCUAAAUUUUCAUCAGCCCUCAUUUCAGCAGGUGUGAACAUAAAACGGAGAAUAACAGUUGCAGGAAUUGAAAUUUUUGCAUCGUCUCGG
rnacentral:misc_RNA from 1 species